rnacentral:rRNA from 1 species
UACGUAGGGUGCAAGCGUUGUCCGGAAUUAUUGGGCGUAAAGAGCUCGUAGGUGGCCUGUCGCGUCGGCUGUGAAAACUCGGGGCUCAACUCCGAGCUUGCAGUCGAUACGGGCAGGCUAGAGUUCGGCAGGGGAGACUGGAAUUCCUGGUGUAGCGGUGAAAUGCGCAGAUAUCAGGAGGAACACCGGUGGCGAAGGCGGCACUCUGGGCCGGUACUGACGCUGAGGAGCGAAAGCGUGGGGAGCGAACAGG